rnacentral:rRNA from 1 species
GUAGGGAAUAUUGCGCAAUGGGCGAAAGCCUGACGCAGCAACGCCGUGUGUAGGAUGAAGCAUCUAGGUGCGUAAACUACUGUCAGCAGGGAAUAAAUUGACUGUACCUGCAGAGGAAGCACCGGCUAACUACGUGCCAGCAGCCGCGGUAAGACGUAGGGUGCAAGCGUUGUUCGGAAUUACUGGGCGUAAAGCGCGUGCAGGUGGUUUUCAAGUUUCGUGUGAAAGCCCACGGCUCAACCGUGGAACGGCACGGAAAACUGGAAGACUUGAAUACUGGAGAAGAGGGCGGAAUUCCCAGUGUAGAGGUGAAAUUCGUAGAUAUUGGGAGGAACACCGGUGGCGAAAGCGGCUCUCUAGACCGAUAUUGACGCUCAUACGCGAGAGCGUGGGUAGCAAACAGGAUUAGAUACCCCAG